GAAGUUGGAGAUACAGGCAAAACCGAAGAAAAUGAAGUAGAUCUCUCUGGAAAAUUUCGACACAAAGGGCAGGUAGCAUUUGUCUUGAGCCAUCCAUCUAUACAAUUCACAUGAAAAUAGUGAUUACACUCAGGAAUUGUCCUCAAUACUUCAUUUGGCUGAUACUCACAAAGACAUAUAGAGCAAGUGUUGUCACUAGGCCUAGGCAAUCGUCCACUUUCACCAAGCUGGGUUUUAGGGUAUCUUUCGAUUGUUGCCCCGUCGAGGCCCAUAACGAAAAUCGGGGGGUGCGUCAUAAUAAAGGUUGAAAAUUCAGUGCUUGUUUGACGUUGUACUUGAUUCCUUGUGUACUUGUUUUUGCAUAACAUCAAUGUAAGCAUAAUUAGACCUAGGAGUCCAGGUAUUCCCAAACCUAGGCUUAAACCAUACUUGACUUUCCUUGAAAGACCUACAUAAAUAAAUACCUCAAAAUCAAGUUAAAAAAACAGUCUAAAUUUGCAAGAAAUGAGUGAAAAUAAAAAACAUCAUUGACUAUUUCUCACCUUGGGUGGGAAGAUCAUAACAAGCAAGACGAAGAGCAUCAUCCCCAACCAAUCCACAUCUUCCUCCACGUGCUUCACAAUUUCCACAAUCAGGAUCAUCCCACUGCAAGGGUAUGUUAGAAUAAUAAUCAGUCCAAAACAACCAAUUCGUCUCUUCCACAGGUAUCAAAGUUGACGAAAUAAAUUCACAUAAUGAUGUCCAUGGUGUAGCAAAAGGAGGAUCAGACAUCAUAGCCACAAUCGAAUAAUUCAUGUUCUUAUCGUUGUUGAUACUACUAAUAGAGCUUAAAUUCAAACAACUUAUAGGUGGUACUAAAUUUAUUACGGUUGAAUUGGAAGGACAAUUUAGGAAUGAAAAAUUAACAAAAGUGUAAUAAUCACUUAACCGAAACGGUGAAUCUUUAAGGUUUAACAUGAAGUUGUUUUGGUCAAACAUGAAACGUUUUGGGAAGCAAAUGUUGGGAUCGUUGACCCAAACUACUUGAUCAACAAAGGAGAUGCGUUUCACAACAAAGCUUUCAGAAUUUGGAAGAGUGAGUAAGGGUUCACUGAAGGUGGUGGUGGUGGUGUUGGUGCACGUGAGGUCGAAACCUGGGUAACUACAAAGAUUGGUUUGAUUUGAUUGGUUUAAUGAAAACGGAAACCGAAUUGGAAGUCCGUAGGUUUCGCAUGAUGCUGUCCUUUCACAUGUGAAGAACUCUUCACCUUUUGUUGUUCUGUGGGGUAACAGUGAUACGAGGAUGAACAAGGAAAUUAAAUAUGGCAAAGUUGACAUUUUGAUUUAGAAGAAGUUCACAAAGAUAAAGAAUAAUAU
rnacentral:lncRNA from 1 species